rnacentral:lncRNA from 1 species
AAAAAUUUGCUGAAAUGAAUUAUUUUUAAUUGUCUCCCUUUACUCGCCUUUAGAUUAUUUAGAUGGUGUUUGUUUACUCACUGAGAUUUUAUAAUCUCACCCUUUUUUUUUAUCCCAUCAUUUCAGGCCGGGUUAGCCUAUAGAUAGCAGACAUCAUCGAGAACUAUAGUUGGCCAUACUACUUCAAAAACUGUAGGUUUACUGUCUUUACUACUUUUGUUCAUUUGUGGGCCCG